rnacentral:sRNA from 1 species
UAUAUUAAAUGGUACAAAUUCAGAACAUCAUAUAUUCAUUAUUACCAUAUAAAUAAAUAACAUCAAAGAAAUUUUUUAUCUCGCUACAGUUUUCACCCCAUAAAAAAAAUGCAAGCGGAAUUGAGCAAGCCCUUACGAACUUGUAUCCAACAUUAUUAUCUUCAUAUGGUAAUUCAUUUGUGUGUUGUCCUAUAGUAAAACGUGUAAGACUGCCUUCAAUAAACUGAAGCAUAUCAACAAUGUUUUCCAUCAAAACGAAUUUCGGUUUUUAAAACUCCUCGUGUUCAUCCAAACAAUAAUUUCGGAGGAAAGAAAUCAUGACAAGAUGUCAAGAUCUUACCAAGUCCAAAUAGUUACCUUGUGAGAAAUAAAAAUUCUACAAAGUAUAGAAUGAGUUACUCUAAUGUAUUUUGAUGAUAAAUUCAUACUUUAGAGA